rnacentral:rRNA from 1 species
CAGAGCCGUACCUCCUCAGAAAGCGCCUGAUCUCAUCCGAGCUCAGAAGCUAAGCAGGGGCGGGUCUGGUUAGCUCUUAGGAGGGAGGCUGCGAAAACAGGUGUGACACUUU